rnacentral:rRNA from 1 species
UACGAAGGGGGCUAGCGUUGCUCGGAAUCACUGGGCGUAAAGCGCACGUAGGCGGAUUUCUAAGUCAGGGGUGAAAUCCUGGAGCUCAACUCCAGAACUGCCUUUGAUACUGGGAAUCUCGAGUCCGGGAGAGGUGAGUGGAACUGCGAGUGUAGAGGUGAAAUUCGUAGAUAUUCGCAAGAACACCAGUGGCGAAGGCGGC